rnacentral:rRNA from 1 species
CUGAGAGGAAGGUCCCCCACACUGGAACUGAGACACGGUCCAGACUCCUACGGGAGGCAGCAGUGAGGAAUAUUGGUCAAUGGACGCAAGUCUGAACCAGCCAAGUAGCGUGCAGGAUGACGGCCCUCCGGGUUGUAAACUGCUUUUAGUUGGGAAUAAAAGGGGGCUCGUGAGCCCCGUAUUGUAUGUACCAUCAGAAAAGGGACCGGCUAAUUCCGUGCCAGCAGCCGCGGUAAUACGGAAGGUCCGGGCGUUAUCCGGAUUUAUUGGGUUUAAAGGGAGCGUAGGCCGGCUUUUAAGUCAGCUGUGAAAGUCCGCGGCUCAACCGUGGAAUUGCAGUUGAAACUGGAGGCCUUGAGUGCACACAGGGAUGCCGGAAUUCAUGGUGUAGCGGUGAAAUGCUUAGAUAUCAUGAAGAACUCCGAUCGCGAAGGCAAGUGUCCGGGGUGCAACUGACGCUGAGGCUCGAAAGUGCGGGUAUCAAACAGGAUUAGAUACCCUGGUAGACCGCACCGUCAACGAU